UAACUCCAGCAGAAGUUGCAGUUGGUUGUU
rnacentral:piRNA from 2 species